rnacentral:rRNA from 1 species
CGUAGUCGAUGGGAAACAGGUUAAUAUUCCUGUACUUGGUGUUACUGCGAAGGGGGGACGGAGAAGGCUAUGUUGGCCGGGCGACGGUUGUCCCGGUUUAAGCGUGUAGGCUGGUUUUCCAGGCAAAUCCGGAAAACCAAGGCUGAGGCGUGAUGACGAGGCACUACGGUGCUGAAGCGACAAAUGCCCUGCUUCCAGGAAAAGCCUCUAAGCAUCAGGUAACAUCAAAUCGUACCCCAAACCGACACAGGUGGUCAGGUAGAGAAUACCAAGGCGCUUGAGAGAACUCGGGUGAAGGAACUAGGCAAAAUGGUGCCGUAACUUCGGGAGAAGGCACGCUGAUAUGUAGGUGAAGCGACUUGCUCGUGGAGCUGAAAUCAGUCGAAGAUACCAGCUGGCUGCAACUGUUUAUUAAAAACACAGCACUGUGCAAACACGAAAGUGGACGUAUACGGUGUGACGCCUGCCCGGUGCCGGAAGGUUAAUUGAUGGGGUUAGCGGUAACGCGAAGCUCUUGAUCGAAGCCCCGGUAAACGGCGGCCGUAACUAUAACGGUCCUAAGGUAGCGAAAUUCCUUGUCGGGUAAGUUCCGACCUGCACGAAUGGCGUAAUGAUGGCCAGGCUGUCUCCACCCGAGACUCAGUGAAAUUGAACUCGCUGUGAAGAUGCAGUGUACCCGCGGCAAGACGGAAAGACCCCGUGAACCUUUACUAUAGCUUGACACUGAACAUUGAGCCUUGAUGUGUAGGAUAGGUGGGAGGCUUUGAAGUGUGGACGCCAGUCUGCAUGGAGCCGACCUUGAAAUACCACCCUUUAAUGUUUGAUGUUCUAACGUUGGCCCCUAAUCGGGGUUGCGGACAGUGUCUGGUGGGUAGUUUGACUGGGGCGGUCUCCUCCUAAAGAGUAACGGAGGAGCACGAAGGUUGGCUAAUCCUGGUCGGACAUCAGGAGGUUAGUGCAAUGGCAUAAGCCAGCUUGACUGCGAGCGUGACGGCGCGAGCAGGUGCGAAAGCAGGUCAUAGUGAUCCGGUGGUUCUGAAUGGAAGGGCCAUCGCUCAACGGAUAAAAGGUACUCCGGGGAUAACAGGCUGAUACCGCCCAAGAGUUCAUAUCGACGGCGGUGUUUGGCACCUCGAUGUCGGCUCAUCACAUCCUGGGGCUGAAGUAGGUCCCAAGGGUAUGGCUGUUCGCCAUUUAAAGUGGUACGCGAGCUGGGUUUAGAACG